rnacentral:tRNA from 1 species
GUUCUUAUGGUGUAAUAUAACACAUUACAUUUUCAUUGUAAAGCUAAAGGUCCUUUCCUUUUAAUAACA